GCAUUUCAACACCCAAGCAAAACCGAGCAGUGACACCAGCCCUGCCAGGGAAUUGCAAGAAAUAAAGACCAGAUCACCAACAUCUUUUCUGGGUUUGCGGGACUCCUCGCCAUCCUCCUGGUCGUUGCAGUUUUCUGCAUCUUGUGGAAUUGGAAUAAACGGAAGAAGCGACAAGUUCCUUACCUCCGAGUUACCGUCAUGCCCUUGCUGACUUUGCCACAAACCAGACAAAGAGCCAAAAAUAUUUAUGACAUCUUGCCUUGGCGACAGGAAGACCUGGGGAGACAUGAGUCAAGGAGUAUGCGCAUUUUCAGUACUGAGAGCCUCCUCUCCAGAAAUUCUGAGAGCCCAGAGCAUGUGCCCUCCCAAGCAGGCAGUGCCUUCCAGGAGCAUACAGCCCACAUCCAUGCCACAGAGUACGCGGUGGGUAUCUAUGACAACGCCAUGGUCCCCCAGAUGUGUGGGAACCUCACUCCCUCGGCACACUGCAUCAAUGUCAGAGCUUCCAGAGACUGCGCAAGCAUUUCUUCAGAGGAUUCGCAUGAUUAUGUCAAUGUCCCCACAGCAGAAGAGAUUGCUGAGACUCUAGCUUCUACCAAAAGCCCUUCCAGAAAUCUCUUUGUUCUUCCCAGUACCCAGAAGCCGGAGUUUACUGAGGAAAGAGAUGAGGGCUGUGGAGAUGCUGGUGACUGCACCAGUUUGUAUUCUCCAGGAGCUGAGGACAGUGAUUCACUCAGCAAUGGAGAAGGUUCUUCUCAGAUCUCAAAUGACUAUGUCAACAUGACAGGGUUGGAUCUCAGUGCCAUCCAGGAAAGGCAGCUCUGGGUGGCUUUUCAGUGCUGCAGAGACUAUGAAAAUGUUCCAGCAGCAGAUCCCAGUGGAAGCCAGCAGCAGGCUGAGAAAGAUGUGCCAUCCUCAAACAUAGGUCAUGUCGAGGACAAGACAGAUGAUCCCGGGACCCAUGUCCAAUGUGUCAAAAGGACAUUCCUUGCUUCAGGGGAUUAUGCAGACUUUCAGCCAUUCACACAGAGUGAGGACAGUCAGAUGAAACAUAGAGAAGAGAUGUCAAAUGAGGACUCCAGUGACUAUGAAAAUGUGCUAACUGCCAAGUUAGGAGGCAGGGACUCUGAGCAGGGGCCUGGCACUCAGCUCCUUCCUGAUGAAUGAAGACCCAGGUACCCAGCCAUAAAGCCACAUUGAGUAGUCUAUCCCACAGGAAUGACUACUGCAGAGUCUAGUGCAGACCCGUGAUCACCUUAGUGCUUCAGUGGAUUCACUGGUUAGAUUAAAAAGAGGCUGAGAUGAGCAGGGAACUAAGAGGCCACACAAAAGCAGAGGUUUGGGAAUUCCAGAAGGGAAUUCUUCUCAAGCAGAGUGUGGUUAUCUCCUGUACCAGCCUAAGAAUGUUUGCUGAAACUGCUUCCUAGAACUGUGAAGAAAGCAGGAAAGUAGUGCACAGUAGUCUAAGAUUAUUACCUUCAUUAAUACCAACAGGCUGCAAAGCAAGAGUAUAGAUUAUUGUAUAAUCCAGGCAGAGGUCAAAAGGAAGGAAGAAGUUGGAGUGGAGUGGGGUGGGCAAUUUCCAUUUUAAAGAGUGUAGGCAGGCCAGGUGCAGUGGCUCAUGCCUGUAAUCCCAGCAUUUUGGUAGGCCGAGGAGGGCAGAUCACUUGGUGCCGGGAGUUCUAGACCAGCCUGGCCAACAUGACCCAUCUUUACUAAAAAUACAAAAAUUAGCCAGGCAUGGUGGUGUGCCCCUGUAAUCCCAGCUACUCAGGAGGCUGAAGCAGGAGAAUCGCUUGAACCCAGGAGGUGGAGGUUGCAGCAAGCCGAGAUUGUGCCACUGUACUCCAGCCUGGUGACAGAGCGAGACUCCCUCUCAAAAAAACAAAACAAACAAAAAAGAAGUGUGGGCAACCAAAUGUAGGUAAGGAUGCAGAAGAAUAGGAACUCUCACUGGUGGCUGAUGGGAUUGCAAAGCGUCAGGGCAGCUUUGAAAAACUUUUCAGCAGUUUCUUAUAAGCAUAACUUAUCAUAUGGCCCAGCCAUUUCACUACUAGAAAUUGACCCAAGUGAACUGAAAACUUAUGUUCACACAAAAACUAGCACAUGACUGUUUAUAGCAGCUUCAUUCAUAAUUACCAAAAACUAGAAAUAACCCAGAUAUCCUUCAACAGGUGAUUGGAUAAGCUGUUGAUAUCCAUUCCUUGAGUUUAUCCAUACUCAACAGUAAAAAAUGAACUCUUGGUUCACACAAUAAUAUAGACAUAUCUUAAAUCCAUUUUGCUAAGUGAAAGAAGCUAGGCCUAAAAGUCUACAUGUUGGGCGAUUCUAUUUAUAUGACAUUCUGGAAAAGGCAAAACUAUAGGGAUGAAGAACAGAUCAGUUGUUGCCAGGUUUGGGAAAAGGAGGGAAGUUUGCUACAAAGGGGCUGCAAAGGGAAUAGGCUGAUGGAGCUGUUCUGUAUUGUACUGUGUGGUGGAUACACGACAAUAUCCAUCUGCAAACACAACAACUAUACACAUGGCCAGGCGUGGUGGCUCACGCCUGUAAUCCCAGCACUUUGGGGGGCCGAGGCAGGGGAACACAAGGUCAGGAGAUCAAGACUGUCCUGGACAACAUGGUGAAACCCUGUCUCUACUCUCUCUAACAUUUGUAAACCUGUCUCUAAUUUGUAAUUUGUAAACCCUGUCUCUCAUAUUUGUAAAAAUACAAAAAUUAGC
rnacentral:sRNA from 1 species